GAACAUCUGUGCCAAACUAAGGUUGUGACGAACAGUUAAUGUUGAACGAUUUAAAAGAACAUUCCAUUUAGUUCGCCACCAACACAUUUUUUAUAAAAAUGGAUGCGACUAAACGGACGGUCAUUUUCACAGUGGCUUCCGCGAUAUUAGAGGACUUCACUGAUAAUGGUGCUCCUGAUCUGGUGAUUAGCAUGUGGCCCUGCCCCUUAAAUAAGGGAGGCUGGAGGAGGAGGAGCUCUCUCUCCAAGAUGAAGCAGCCUUCCUGACCAUCUUAGUGUUUUGUUUUUUUUGCUCCUUACUUUGUGUUUAUUUCCUUUUGAGGAUGGAGGUCUGGUAGGUCAGUUUUCGCAGCUUUAUUUGUUAGUUUAGUUAUGCACUGUUUUUGGAAGUUUAUGGGGGGGGAGGUUUUGGGUUCGACGGCCCAUUGUGUGGUUGGCCCAGAUUUCUCCAUUCUUUUGUUCUGUUUGGCCAGGCCUCCAGACUCCCAUAGUUUUGGUUAAUUAAUGGCAACUGUUUAUAAAUAAAGUCUUUUUGCUUUGAAACUAA